rnacentral:rRNA from 1 species
UAAUGNGCGACNCUGNCCACCCAAGUACGCGUGAAGGAUGACUGCCCUNUGGGUUGUAACCUNCUUUUAUAAAGGAAUAAAGNCGGGUAUGGAUCCCCGUUUGCAUGUNCUUUAUGAAUAAGGANCGGCUANCUCCGUGCCCACCACCCCCGGUAAUNCGGAGGANCCGAGCCGUUANCCGGAUUUAUUGGGUUUAAAGGGAGCCGUAGGUGGAUUGUUAAGNCCAGUUGUGAAAGUUUGCCGGCCCCACCCGUAAAAUUGCCAGUUGAACCUGGCCAGUCCUUGAGUNCAGUAGAGGUGGGCCGGAAUUCGUGGUGUANCGGUGAAAUGCUUAGAUAUCCNCGAAGANCNCCGAUUGCCGAAGGCCAGCCUCACUAGACUGUUNCUGACCCCUGAUGCCNCGAAAGUGUGGGUANCAAACAGGAUUAGAUNCCCUGGUAGUCCCAAGGGCGAAUUC